GGCGACCCCAGGUCAGGCGGGAU
rnacentral:rRNA from 2 species